rnacentral:lncRNA from 1 species
GCCUGCAAUACAUGGGGCUGAAAGAGGGGUUGGCUGCAUGACACCGGGAAGGGCACGGCCUCUGCUCGGCAUCAGGGAUAAUUUGGAGUUGGAGGUCGUCGUCGGGGCCUGUGAUGCAAGGAGAUGUGAGGAGGGAGGGCACCAGAGGGGGAAAAAAAACAGGGGGCGGCUCAAUGGCGAGGGCACUUACUGGAUGUCGACGUCGGCCUUCCCACGUUUUGUAAGAUGUGGACGCUGGAGGGGCCUCCACCAGCAGCACCUUGGGGUCUCGGGAUGCAGCAAAACGGAGACGGCAUUCAGUUUUGGUGGAAAGGGAGGAGGAGGGGAGGACAGGGAGGGGGCAGCCAUGGCAAACAUGAGGGAGGAGGAGGCUCGGCCAUGG